ACAAUGAUCAUGGGUUCUCUCAACAAGUAGAAGAGUUCCGGAUCAUUUUAUCCAUGAUUGUAUGGUUCUGACGGCUAUUAAUUUGAGGAUAGGUGGUUAUAGUCAUUAUUGCACGCAGAGUGUAAACGGACAAAUUAUCAUACGUAACGCCCAAAGUUUUGGUGUUAUUUAAUAACUAUUUUGUCAUAGAAGACAAUAUCUUCACAUUUAGUGAAUAAAUGGGCUUUUGGUUUAGUAGGGGAAGUUUAGGCUCCUUGCAGUAAAGAAGCGAGAAAUUUUUCGGAGAAAGUCGUUUACUAUAAAACACAUGUCAUCAGUUCCAGUGGCCGAUGUCAUUAUUGUGCACAGUCACAGAAAUUCCCUCUGGUGGGAUAUAACAAGUUGUUUAAUUGUUCAUAGUGCAAAGCUCAACUGGUGUGUUAAAUUCAGAAGUAGCAAAUAAAGAUCGUUAUUACCACUGGGGAACAGAGAACUAUCGGGCAAUAUGAUGCCUGAGUUCCUACGAUACAGCAGUGGGCCACUAUUCUGGUUAGAGGGAGAUUGCGCACCUUAUGAAGAUAGCUAUUCUCAUGGAAACUUGAUGACAGUAAGCAGUGCGCAGGACUUUGGUAUUUUGUGCAGCUGUCGAACAACGCAUUCCGUUUUUCUUUGCCUUGAGCAGGCAUAGCAAUCGAAUUGAAUUUCAAUAUCCCUCAUCGGGUUAGACGGUUGCCCAAAGUAUACUCACACAUGUGGAAAGCUUACAAAACUUCAAGUGUUCCCGUUAAAUUUUGGCAAAUUUCGGAGCAUUUGGCCUAGUUAGCGUUGUUAAGAUGUCAAAUUCAACCAAUUGUUAAACCAAAACAAGCCAACGAAAAAAGGCAUGGACUAGUUCCCGCAACGGACGCCAUAAUCUCCAUUUCACAAAUAAGCAGGAGUAUGAGUAAUGUUUCCAUUAUGGAAUGUGCAGACGGUAAAUAGCGUAUACUGAGUGUGGAUACAGGGUCGUUAAAUUCCAGAAUUCGAUCUGAUCUGGUUAAUAAAGAAGUAAGACCAUUAGCUGAUGCAAAAUUGCGUACUGCAACUGCAGGAGGAAAUGAAAUCUUCGGAGAAGUAACGUUCAGGGUCAUAAUUGGAAAGGCAUCCGUGAUACACUAUUUUGUAGUUGCAUAUAUCGUCGAUGAAAUAAUAAUUGAAUAUUAUAAGGAUAUGAUAACAAAUACAAAAUAACAGUCUGAGAGCAUAUUCCACCAAAAUCAGAAGCAGUUAUUUGGGAAGAAGUGGAUGGAGACUAUGGGACAAACAAGUUUUAGUUUGUUGAGGCCACAGAAAAACUUACACCAGACUUACUCAUAUGAAAAACCCUGGCUAUGACAGGACAAGAUAAAUGUGUUCCAGUAAAAUUAUUUAAUGAGUUAAAGUCACCGAUCAAUCUUCGUGGGGAUCUAUGUUAAGACAUUGUCAAGAGAUAAAUUGUGAAGUAUGUACAUCUUGAAGAUUCAUUGGCAAAAACGAUAUAUUGAACGAAAUUAACACAUGGAUUAAGGGACUGGAGGCAAAUCAUCAAAAUAAGGCUAAAUAACUUAGAUACUCAACCAUUUUGAUAGACGAUUUCACACCAAGAAGAACCAAAGAUUUGAAACAUUUCAUUAACACAACAACAUGCGAGACCAAUUCGCCAGGCUCCUCGAAGCGUUCCUCAAGCAAACCGUGACGUUGUAAACCCGACUGCACGUGAAAUGAGCGAAAGCGGCGAGUCCAUGAAGUUCAGAUGAGGGACUUUUGAAGAAAAAAGGUGGCAGCAUGAGAGUACCUUUGAAUUAUGUAACGCUUCUACUACCUUAAAGAGACUUAUAAGGACUCUUAGGACAGAAAGUGACAACGGAGGGCAACUUUGCCAGCAUAGCAAUUAGUAGGCGCAUCAUAUCAUAUCAUAAAUAUAGUGAUUUCCCUAAAAUUUAAUCAUUUAAUACCACUUAUAUAAGUUGCUUUAUUUUGUCCAUGAAUCAAAUGGAAAUAUUAAAAUAAUAAAUAUGAAUAAGUUCAA